GACGAACCGUGCGAACGUUGUUCGGAAUCACUGGGCUUAAAGGGCGCGUAGGCGGGUUUGCAAGUCUGCGGUGAAAGCCCCCAGCUUAACUGGGGAAGUGCCUUUGAUACUGCCGGUCUGGAGGGAGAUAGGGGUGUGCGGAACUUCCAGUGGAGCGGUGAAAUGCGUUGAUAUUGGAAGGAACGCCGGAGGCGAAAGCGGCGCACUGGAUCUCUUCUGACGCUGAGGCGCGAAAGCUAGGGGAGCAAACGGG
rnacentral:rRNA from 1 species